AGCGUAACACUGGACAAACAUGAAGGUGGCUAUUGGGGAAGAUAGCUCGUUAGUGCGUAUGUGUACAUAUAUACACACUCACACCUGCACAUACAUAUUUG
rnacentral:miRNA from 1 species